CAAGUCGCGUGCGCAGUUUCCGUAGCAAUACGGGGAUGGGCGCACGGCGCACGGGUGCGUAACACGUGGGCAAUCUGCCCUCCGAUGGGGAAUACCCCCGCGAAAGCGGGACUAAUUCCGCAUAACAUUCCUUGGAUUAACUUUCGAGGAUUCAAAGCAGCAAUGCGUCGGAGGAGGAGCCCGCGCCCGAUUAGCUAGUUGGUGAGGUAACGGCUCACCAAGGCAAUGAUCGGUAGCUGGUCUGAGAGGAUGGCCAGCCACACUGGAACUGAGACACGGUCCAGACUCCUACGGGAGGCAGCAGUGGGGAAUCUUGCACAAUGGGCGAAAGCCUGAUGCAGCGACGCCGCGUGGGGGAUGAAGCUUUUCGGAGUGUAAACCCCUUUCGACUGGGACGAAUGCCUCGCAAGAGGAGCGACGGUACCAGUAUAAGAAGCCCCGGCUAACUACGUGCCAGCAGCCGCGGUAAGACGUAGGGGGCCAGCGUUGUUCGGAAUUACUGGGUGUAAAGGGUUCGUAGGCGGUGUGGCAAGUCGGGAGUGAAAUCUCUGGGCUCAACCCAGAGACUGCUUCCGAAACUGCUGUGCUUGAAUGUGAGAGAGGCUCGUGGAAUUGCAGGUGUAGCGGUGAAAUGCGUAGAUAUCUGCAGGAACACCCGUGGCGAAAGCGGCGAGCUGGAUCACUACUGACGCUUAAGAACGAAAGCUAGGGGAGCAAACAGGAUUAGAUACCCUGGUAGUCCUAGCCCUAAACGAUCAGGACUUGGGGUGCCGCCCGUUCGGGCGUCGUCCCGGAGCUAACGCGUUAAGUCCUGCACCUGGGGAGUACGGUCGCAAGACUGAAACUCAAAGGAAUUGACGGGGGCCCCCCACAA
rnacentral:rRNA from 1 species